UACAGAGGUGGCAAGCGUUGUUCGGAUUUACUGGGCGUAAAGGGUGCGUAGGCGGUCCGGUGUGUCGGGUGUGAAAGCCCACCGCUCAACGGUGGAACGGCGCUCGAAACUGUCGGACUUGAGUACGGGAGAGGAGAGUGGAAUUCGUGGUGUAGCGGUGAAAUGCGUAGAUAUCACGAAGAACACCGGUGGCGAAGGCGACUCUCUGGACCGAUACUGACGCUGAGGCACGAAAGCUGGGGGAGCAAACAGG
rnacentral:rRNA from 1 species